UUGGCUCACUGGCUGGGCAACAGCUGGGUGCCCUCAGGUCUCCUGCCAGCGACAGCCGCCAUCCACAGCCAGCUGCCUGAGAGACAAGGAGAGUGCUUAAUCAACCGUCUGAAUGUCCUCAGAGGACACGGCUUUCAGUUACACAGCAAACAGCUGGCUCCUGAGAGGCUGUGUCCUGGGCUCUGCGACCUGGUGGCUCCAGGCUUGUGCAAAUUGCUUUCAGACUCUGCCACCCGCGGCAGCAGACAGCGGCUGACUUUCCAGUAUGAAGCCAUUUGCUGGCGGGGUACCAGGACGGACUGGCGGUGGCACAGGGCCGUGCCAGCAAGGCCCAAGAAGAGCACGAGCUCGCUCCGCGGAGGCGCAUCGCCCGCCUGAGGGGGCCAGCACAGGGCUCGCCCCGCGCCUUUAGCGCCGGGCUGGAGAACAGCCCCUGGGCGCUGCUGCCCUGGUGGAGGCGGGGGUGGAGUAGGCAGCGCUGCAGCAGCCCUGGGGACCCCAUCCCCAGACAGGACGCAGCUUCCUGCGCUAGCAGAACCCCAGAACGCUGCAACUAGAGGCUCCCGCCCCCACCUAUUCCCACCCAGCCCCAAGAAUCAGGGUUCCUGCCUUAAACAGGGCGGAAUUUAGAAACCAAACCAGCAAUAAAAUUGCAACGCA